rnacentral:tmRNA from 1 species
GGGGCUGAAUAGGAUCGACAGGGUUAGACGGAGCGGAGUGUCGCAAGCCGUGGUUGGUCAGAUCCACGUAAAAAUCCGCCCAAAUCAUAACUGGCGAACCUCUCGCCCUCGCUGCCUAAACCGUAGCGAGUUCCGCCACUAAACCGGCGGACGUUCACCUCCGACCUCGCCUGUGGGCGGGGAGUGAGCGUCAAAGAUGCAGGCUGGGCCGUUAAGCGCGCCUUCGCGACCGCGGCCGAAAUGCAGCAAGGCUGGUCUUUAGGUAGGUGGUUCGCAACCGAACUAAAGGCGAGACCUAAGAGCGGACUAAGCUUGUAGGGACGCCGCCAGACUGAUCUUGGACCCGGGUGCAAUUCCCGGCAGCUCCACCA